GAUGAACGCUAGCGGGAGGCCUAACACAUGCAAGCCGAGCGGUAUUUGUUCUUCGGAACAGAGAGAGCGGCGCACGGGUGCGGAACACGUGUGCAACCUGCCUUUAUCUGGGGGAUAGCCUUUCGAAAGGAAGAUUAAUACCCCAUAAUAUAUUGAGUGGCAUCACUUGAUAUUGAAAACUCCGGUGGAUAGAGAUGGGCACGCGCAAGAUUAGAUAGUUGGUGAGGUAACGGCUCACCAAGUCAAUGAUCUUUAGGGGGCCUGAGAGGGUGAUCCCCCACACUGGUACUGAGACACGGACCAGACUCCUACGGGAGGCAGCAGUGAGGAAUAUUGGACAAUGGGUUAGCGCCUGAUCCAGCCAUCCCGCGUGAAGGACGACGGCCCUAUGGGUUGUAAACUUCUUUUGUAUAGGGAUAAACCUACUCUCGUGAGAGUGGCUGAAGGUACUAUACGAAUAAGCACCGGCUAACUCCGUG
rnacentral:rRNA from 1 species